AGUACCCAAAGACAAUUCCAUGUUUUCCAGCUCAUCGUGUUCACUCGGACUGGCUCCCAUUUUCAUUCUGUUAGUGAAUUGUUCCAACUCUUUGUUCACAGCUGGACCCAGAAUUAUACUCAGAUCAAAGCAAUCCUGAUUUAAAAGCAGUACAACCACAACCAGUGCCGGAUUUUCAAGACGGUUACUCCUGAAAGACGGUGCAGUUCCCACUUUGUUGGGACAAUUUGGCGCUUCAGGAUCACAACCUAGUCAGAUUUCCUGGCAGUACGUCUGCAUGAAGGUGCUGACGUAAGAGAGAGCCCCAAAGGAGCUCUCCGUGGUGCUGAUAUUUCCGCUGAAGCGUGGUGCUGCUCUUUGCUAUGGGCUUUUCAGAGCCAGCUGGAUAACCAGGCAACAUGCCGGGUCACUUCAACGCCCCUUUCCUCUCUCUUCCUCCCCCCUCCUCUUCACAGGCAUGAGAAAGCAAUACUGAGGCUCUUGGCUCUGUGUUAACCAGAACAAGCAGACACAUAUAGAGCCAAAAGUGUCCAACAGCACGGGGAAAGAGACAUUGCCAGAGAGUUUUGGCAGAUACUCAUUCACCACUUCAGCAAGAUUACGCACUGUUCUGAAAAGGGCGAGAGAUUAAAAAACAAGCACUUGGUGAGAGAGGGAGAGUGGGGAGAAUGAGAAAAAUGAACA